rnacentral:rRNA from 1 species
AGUAAAUUUCGAGUGAAAGCACUUUGAAGAGGUUAAACAGCACGUGAAAAAGUUAAAAGGGAAGCGCUUGUGACCAGACUUGCGUCCGGUGAAUCACCCAGCUCUCGCGGCUGGGGCACUUCGCCGGCUCAGGCCAGCAUCAGCUCGCUGUCGGGGACAAAAGCUUCAGGAACGUAGCUCUCUUCGGGGAGUGUUAUAGCCUGUUGCAUAAUACCCUUCGGCGGGCUGAGGUACGCGCUCCGCAAGGAUGCUGGCAUAAUGGUCAUCAGCGACCCGUCUUGAAACACGGACCAAG